AGUAACGCAGUAAUUGUUGCGCAAAAGUUAUUAGUUGGCUACUUGUUUAUUUGCGUUUUCUCUCCGAAAGAGUGUCAAUUGUUUUUUGUGUGGACCAAUUAUGUCAACGUGCCUAACGUUAGCAGCUACAAAGGCUACAGGAAACACCGGGAGACACUGAAGCACGGUCGGUCAUGUUGUCCUGGGACAUGUGAAGAUGUGAAGAGAAGGAUUUAAACAGACUCAAAACAGCUUUGAAACUCAUCCUGCACUGGUUCUUUAACAGCACCCGAGGGCGGAAGACUGCAGGUUAUGUGUCCAGGUCUUUCUCGCACACCUUCCUCGACCCCAUCGCUCCCACCCGAGAGAAGGAUGAGAGAGUCUGCCUGCCAGUUUCCUUUCCACAUUUUCGGAGGCUUCUUCCCUAGUCCUUCAGGUCUGACACUACACACACUCCUUCCUCUGGAAGCUCCCCGCUCCACUCCGGUCAAUUUGACCCAGCUGUGAAAACUAUCCUGGUGGUGCGGGUACUGUCUGGCAGGUUUGGUUGUGCAGUAGGUGAGGGCCGGCAGAACGACGCAGACCUCAGAGACAGUGCGCCUAAUGCUCUCCACAUGUUAUUGUCUGGAAAACGGCCCUUCGGUUACUCAUCCACGUGGAAAACGCCCCGUUAGAAAACAGCUGGGUCAAACUGCGCAGCCACACACCUCCCGAAAUCACGAUCCUACAUCCGUGCUGAUACCUAGUACAGUGUUUUUAACAUCUUUUAUGUUUAAAUAUUAUGUAUGUCAGAUGUGGUUUGUGAGGACUUCCUUUGCAAGAGGUCACAAGGUCAAGGUGUGCCGGUGACCCUAAUACUGCUGUGAUGCCAGGCUCACGUUGCCCUGCUGUUCACCAAGCCGUCCUUCUGAAGUGCAAGGGAAGCUGUUCUAUUCCUGUUCUCCUCCUCCCAGAGACACAAUGAACUGUUGAAAAUGUAAUUGCCUCCCUGAUCUAUCCACCACAUGCCGUUCAAAAGCCCCUCACUCACUCCAAUGGGCAGCCGCUCAGAUGAUCUCACCCCACUGUACGCAGACAAAAGAGUGUUCUUAUUAAAGAAUGGCGCUGCGGAGAGAUGACAAAGACAGUGGAACACGGACAAGAGAAUUUUUCUGACAUACUCCAAGAAUUUCGUACACUGUCACUGUCAGUGCCAGAUAAUAAUUACUGAGCUCCAAAGGCAUGGCUGCUAUGAAUCGAGGCGCUGGUAGAACGAGUGAAUAAGAGAAUAGCUGGUGGUCAAGCUGCUUCAGGGGAUGAGGCGGACACAACAGGCCCAGUGUUAUUAGCGGUAAUGAAACUAAAACAAAAAGUAAUCUGGAAAUCUAUAGGAAAGACUGGAAAUGAAAUAAAAUACAUUUUCAUUGCUGUAAAAACUAAUGUGAAAAUGAGACAAGAUGGCAAUAACGGUUGACUAUCAUGAUUAAAAGCAUUAAAUUUUUCCUGACACAUUAUAUCAGGUGAUUUGUUAACUAAACCCUAAAAUACUAGUACUUAUA